AUUGAACGCUGGCGGCAGGCCUAACACAUGCAAGUCGAGCGGCAGCGGGAAAGUAGCUUGCUACUUUUGCCGGCGAGCGGCGGACGGGUGAGUAAUGCCUGGGAAAUUGCCCAGUCGAGGGGGAUAACAGUUGGAAACGACUGCUAAUACCGCAUACGCCCUACGGGGGAAAGCAGGGGACCUUCGGGCCUUGCGCGAUUGGAUAUGCCCAGGUGGGAUUAGCUAGUUGGGGAGGUAAUGGCUCACCAAGGCGACGAUCCCUAGCUGGUCUGAGAGGAUGAUCAGCCACACUGGAACUGAGACACGGUCCAGACUCCUACGGGAGGCAGCAGUGGGGAAUAUUGCACAAUGGGGGAAACCCUGAUGCAGCCAUGCCGCGUGUGUGAAGAAGGCCUUCGGGUUGUAAAGCACUUUCAGCGAGGAGGAAAGGUCAGUAGCUAAUAUCUGCUGACUGUGACGUUACUCGCAGAAGAAGCACCGGCUAACUCCGUGCCAGCCGCCGCGGUAACAC
rnacentral:rRNA from 1 species